AUCCUUGCUGAAUGACUGCCUCCCAGCCCAUCCUUUUACACAAGAACCGCUUGCCUGAAGGAUGCUCCAUCACACAGCCUGGGUCUUUGGAGCUAGAACGUAAUCACACAGUCCUCCUCUGUCCGAGACUCUUUAUCCAGAAGGGAAAGCCCUAAAACCUUCUUUUGGGGGUUGCUAUUCCUUUGGUAUCUUCAGAGUUGAACGUACUGCUUGUUCUAAUACCAGAUACUUUUAUAACAAUUUCAUUUUUACUAUUUCUCUAUUCUCAUUUGAUUUGGAAAAGUCUCCGUGUCAUGAAGCAAAGGAGAAAACUCCCUCUCCUCUCCUGCCUCUUACCCUUCGAGGCUUUGCAUAGACAUCACCUCCUCCAGGAAUCCUUCCUUGAUGACCUCCACACUGCUUUCCAUGCUGCUUCUCCUGGUCUCCCGGCCUCCUGUGCUUCCGUCUAUCAUAGCCUUACCUCGAGACUAUAGUUUUUGUCCCUUUGUCUGUCUGCCUCACUGAUGUGUGACCUUCUUUAGAGCAGACCAUAGCUUUGGCUAAUAAUAGCUAACUUCUGUUAAGAACUUAUAUGCCAAGCGAAGUAGUUGGUCUUAAACACAGUCCUAGAAGGGAAGGGAGAUGCUAAACUUGCCCUCCUUUUCCAGUAAGAAAUGAAGGCACCUGGAGAGGUUUAGUAAAUACUAAAGUUCACUGCUCAUAAAGAAGGCAAAAUCAGGAUUCAAACCCAGGUAGCUCUGGUCCCCAGACGGCUCCUAAUCUCUGCUCCAGACUCUUGGGCCCCUCCUGCCUACCUCCUUGCAGUUAGCACUUAGGACGUGCUCAGUAAACACCGGAAGGCCAGUGUCAGAAGUUCCCUGGUGGCCUAGCGGCGAAGGACCUGGCGUUGUCACUGCUGUGGCUCAGGGUCAGUCCCUGGCCCAGGAAUGUCCACAUGUCAUCACAGGUGGCUUUGCUUCUCGCAUGACUGUGAUGAGAGGUAGAGGCAGGGUUGGUGUCCCACUCAGGCAGAGUUUACAGCCAAGAGAGCACGUUCUCAAUAGGACCCUUCCUUCCAAGGCAGAGACACCUACUCUGUUUUGUUUUGUUUUGUUUUUUCUUUUGGUUUUUAGGGCUGCACCUGUGGCACGUGGAAGUUCCCAGGGUAUGGAUUGAAUCGGAGCCUGCACCACUGCCACAGCAACACCAGAUCUGACCUACAUCUGCAACCUACACCACAGCUUAUGGCAAUGCCAGGUCCUUAACCCACUGAGGGAGGCCAGGGAUCAAACCUGCAUCCUCAUGGUCACUAGUUGGAUUCUUAACUCGCUGAGCCACAGUGGGAACUCCAUAGACCUACUCUAUUUUUAAACACUCAUUUCCCACACCAGCAGCCUUCUCAGAGGCUUUAGCUGCGGGAAUAUAGGGUGCAAAGUAACUUCACAGCAAUCUCACAGCCGUUUGGGGCUGAGAAACAAUUUGGAGCCUCAGAUCGUCCAAGCGCAUUUCAGUUGCAUCGUUUCGAAAGAAUUCAGGCAUGUGUGGAGCUCAGCAUCUCCAACAUCUUGGACCCCAGUUCUCGUCCACACACACGCCCCGCCUGACCAGGAGCAGGGCUGCCUGGGCCCCCCCAGUGAGCGCUCACGCCCUGGUCCUAGAGCCCAGCCCGGGGGCCUGCUUCCCCACCCUGCUUACUCGUGGAGGUUUCCUCCUAAUCCACUGAGGUAAUUGUUUGGUUCUUGGAUGUGGCCAUGCAUUUCCGAAUGACUGUAUUUGAGUACUUAUCUAAUUGCUUUUGGAGAGGAGAGGGAGCGUGAGCUAUGCUUUGUCUUCAUGGAGCCACGCCCCCGAGUCUCACUUGCUUGAAAUAGGUCAUUUAAUUUUUCUAUCAUCACAGUCAGUAUUCAGUCAAAGGAAGAAAUUCGGGAAACCAUAACGAUAGUAAAAAAAGGUACCAACAUGCCAAAAAUAACCACUGUUAGUGUUUCAGGUUGAAUCCUUCUGGUUGUUUUCAGGGAUGUAAUCUCACACAUACAUGCAUGUGACUGGAGUCAUACUUACCAUCCGUGGUCCCUAAAUUAAAUUAUUUCGGAGCAAACAGAUGUCCAGCUUCUGCUUUCCCUUCCCCUCACCCCAGAAGACUUGGCCGGUA
ensembl:lncRNA